AAUUCAAGUGUCUGGAAUUAGAGCCACGGGGGAGCCCUCACAGUACGCAGGGCACACCUCCACACUGCCCGAAUUCCUCCUCUUUCGUAACACAGGAUUCUAUUACUGGCUGCGUGAAUGGGUGGGCUGCUUUGGGAAGUUCGUCCCGUGACAGAGGAGAGGGAGACACCCACUAACCUGAGAGAUCAGCUGGAUCAGCCCUGGAUAUCAACAGUCGGCAGACCCCCAGCUGGAUCACCCACACGUCACAGAGCCAGCCGCGUCUCAAUAGCUACUCUCGUCACAGAAGCUUGCAUAAAAAUAGUUUUAAAAGACCAUCUUCCAAGUAAUGUAAUAGAACCAGUAUGA
rnacentral:lncRNA from 1 species